UACGAAGGGGGCUAGCGUUGCUCGGAAUUACUGGGCGUAAAGCGCACGUAGGCGGUCUUUUAAGUCGGGGGUGAAAUCCUGGAGCUCAACUCCAGAACUGCCUCUGAUACUGAGAGUCUUCGAGUCCGGGAGAGGUGAGUGGAACUGCGAGUGUAGAGGUGAAAUUCGUAGAUAUUCGCAAGAACACCAGUGGCGAAGGCGGCUCACUGGCCCGAUACUGACGCUGAGGCACGAAAGCGUGGGGAGCAAACAGG
rnacentral:rRNA from 1 species